GUGAAGGUGAACGCCUUGGUUGAACCGUGUUACAAUGCUGUCCUCUAGGUCCUUGAAAUUCCUCUGACGUCAACAGGAAUGUGAGGGCUGGGGAAGCCCUGAACCUCUGAUUUGAACCUCGGUGAAGCGUAAACAGCCAAGAUGCAGUUUGCAAAUACAAGAUUACGGGGUAAUUAUUUACACUUUGAUAGGCACCUUCAUUAAAGGUUUUGAGGAUGCAAUUAUCAAAUUGAGGUUUAGUGCACUCCAUUUAAGCAACUGAAGUGAAGAUCGGGAAAGUGGGAUGCAGAACGGAAUCAGAUAGACAGAAAGACAUCAGAUUCCAGAAAGACAUCCAAUGGGCAGUCCAAGAUUUAUGCCAAUUAAAGAAGGCGCAGCACAGCUGAAGGUCAACAGAGCUAGCGCACAUGAUUUGAAAAAAAUUUAUCAUUCUUAUGCAUCCUAUUGAGUAUCCAGAAAUGAGCUGCCAGUUUGCAAGAAAUGGCUGCUGCUCUGAGUGAAACGAUGGCUAAGCUUUGUAGGUGGCUGGGUGGGGCCACAGGUCUCCUUGGAAACUGAUACUUUCAGGAUUCACUUGAACUCGAGCCAUCUUGUCAACCACAGUUUCUUGGGAAGCAAUAUUUUCUGUCCCUGUGACCUUGGCAUUUUGCUUCCUGGUAGAAAAUGAAUACUGGUUCUUUCCACAAGAUUAGAGAACCAACUCUUUAUUUCAGGAAUGCAACCUUUAUUGUCUACAGCCUUAAGUAACUGACAAGACCAAAAUGGUGGCCAUCACCCAAACACCUGCACCAACCAAACCAGCAUGGAGUUACAAUAGCGAAGAGAAGUCUCUUUUGUUUUUCCUCUCAAUUUUUUGUACUCCGGAAUGAGUGCUCGUAAUAAGACAACAUUAAAUGUGUAAUAUUUGGCAUUAAAGGGCUAAACAUUAUAUAAAUUAGUGUAAAAAAUUUGUUCAAUCUAUGUGUAC
rnacentral:lncRNA from 1 species